AGAGUUUGAUCAUGGCUCAGAGCGAACGCUGGCGGCAGGCCUAACACAUGCAAGUCGAACGGACCUUUCGGGGUUAGUGGCGGACGGGUGAGUAACACGUGGGAACGUGCCUUUAGGUUCGGAAUAAGCUCGGGAAACUGGGUCUAAUACCGAAUGUGCCCUUCGGGGGAAAGAUUUAUCGCCUUUAGAGCGGCCCGCGUCUGAUUAGCUAGUUGGUAGUGUAAUGGACUACCAAGGCGACGAUCAGUAGCUGGUCUGAGAGGAUGACCAGCCACAUUGGGACUGAGACACGGCCCAAACUCCUACGGGAGGCAGCAGUGGGGAAUCUUGCGCAAUGGGCGAAAGCCUGACGCAGCCAUGCCGCGUGUAUGAUGAAGGUCUUAGGAUUGUAAAAUACUUUCACCGGUGAAGAUAAUGACUGUAGCCGGAGAAGAAGCCCCGGCUAACUUCGUGCCAGCAGCCGCGGUAAUACGAAGGGGGCUAGCGUUGCUCGGAAUUACUGGGCGUAAAGGGAGCGUAGGCGGACAUUUAAGUCAGGGGUGAAAUCCCAGAGCUCAACUCUGGAACUGCCUUUGAUACUGGGUGUCUUGAGUGUGAUAGAGGUAUGUGGAACUCCGAGUGUAGAGGUGAAAUUCGUAGAUAUUCGGAAGAACACCAGUGGCGAAGGCGACAUACUGGAUCAUUACUGACGCUGAGGCUCGAAAGCGUGGGGAGCAAACAGGAUUAGAUACCCUGGUAGUCCACGCCGUAAACGAUGAUUGCUAGUUGUCGGGGAGUUUACUUCUCGGUGACGCAGCUAACGCAUAAGCAUCCGCCGGAGAC
rnacentral:rRNA from 1 species